rnacentral:rRNA from 1 species
UACGAAGGGGGCUAGCGUUGCUCGGAAUCACUGGGCGUAAAGGGUGCGUAGGCGGGUCUUUAAGUCAGGGGUGAAAUCCUGGAGCUCAACUCCAGAACUGCCUUUGAUACUGAAGAUCUUGAGUUCAGGAGAGGUGAGUGGAACUGCGAGUGUAGAGGUGAAAUUCGUAGAUAUUCGCAAGAACACCAGUGGCGAAGGCGGCUCACUGGCCCGAUACUGACGCUGAGGCACGAAAAGCGUGGGGGAUCAAACCAGGGAGUU